CAGAAAGCAGCACAUUUUUGGAAUGUUGCUUCCAAUUUGCCUGAAGAAAAUUGCAACCUACUUGGCAGUGAGUAUAAGCUUGGGACAUGGACUGUGAACUCCCUUCCUUCAAUCUGAGAGGCCUCUGCUGCAUCUCUUCAAUAUGUUUUGAUGCACUUAUGCAGACAGGAGGUUUUGAUCUUUGCCCAUAGCCCUGAGUUCUGUAAACGUUCUGGACCCAUAAAGGCCUGCUAGGAGGUGAACCUUACUCGGCCUUGAGGAUUCAGAUGAUUGAGGCCAAAGCCUUCCAAUGGGCUUUAUCGCUGCUGACUAUCAAGCAGGCAGGAAACAUCCUCAAGACCUUGCAGUUCUAAAAUGGCUGCUGCCUUCGCCGACUUCACAGUCAAACAGCACUUCAGGAUACGUUAUCGUGUGGAAAGAGAUCUUUUGAAGAUAUUCCAAAUUUUU